rnacentral:rRNA from 1 species
GACGAACGCUGGCGGCGUGCUUAACACAUGCAAGUCGUACGGUAAGGCCCUUUCGGGGGUACACGAGUGGCGAACGGGUGAGUAACACGUGAGUAACCUGCCCACAACUUUGGGAUAACGCUAGGAAACUGGUGCUAAUACUGGAUAUGUGCUCCUGCUGCAUGGUGGGGGUCGGAAAGCUCUGGCGGUUGUGGAUGGACUCGCGGCCUAUCAGCUUGUUGGUGGGGUAGUGGCCUACCAAGGCGGCGACGGGUAGCCGGCCUGAGAGGGUGACCGGCCACAUUGGGACUGAGAUACGGCCCAGACUCCUACGGGAGGCAGCAGUGGGGAAUAUUGCACAAUGGGCGCAAGCCUGAUGCAGCAACGCCGCGUGCGGGAUGACGGCCUUCGGGUUGUAAACCGCUUUCAGCAGGGACGAAGCUUUUUGUGACGGUACCUGCAGAAGAAGCACCGGCUAACUACGUG